AUGGCCAGCGCCACCGCGUCCCCUUGCACCAUCGAGCCCAGGAGAUGCGGUUCGCUGCACGGGGCCAUCACUGACCAGCGGCGGCGUGGGGAAGCUUCGAAUCCAGGCGGCCUGGAGGGUGAUGGCAUGGGCCACUGGAGCAUACUGGGCGACCAGAGCCUGAUCAAAGUUGUAUCGGCCUUGAGCAGCGGCGAGUUCUGCGCCCCGGCGCGGUUCGAUCUCGGGAUCACCGACAACAGAGAUGUUGGGGACGCCGGCGGGGUGAGGGGCCUCCUGAGAUCGCCUCCUGGCAGCGCGGGGAGAGGCCUGAUGAGAAGGGCUGCGCCCACGGGCGCCCGCAGACUGGCGGCCCAGCAUAGGUUGGAGUUCGAGCCUCACCGUCUUCGGAGUUGGAGCCACCUAGCAGACCGGAGGCGUGCCCUUCCACUUGACCAGUAG
rnacentral:rRNA from 1 species